UGAGGAAUUUUGCGCAAUGGGGGAAACCCUGACGCAGCAACGCCGCGUGGGUGAAGAAGGCCUUCGGGUCGUAAAGCCCUGUCAGGUGGGAAGAACGGUCCUUAAGCGAACAGUUUGGGGAUUUGACGGUACCACCAGAGGAAGCACCGGCUAACUCCGUGCCAGCAGCCGCGGUAAUACGGAGGGUGCGAGCGUUGUUCGGAAUUAUUGGGCGUAAAGGGCGUGUAGGCGGCUGGGUAAGUCUGAUGUGAAAGCCCGGGGCUCAACCCUGGAAGUGCAUUGGAGACUGCUCGGCUUGAGUACUGGAGAGGAUGGGGGAAUUCCCGGUGUAGAGGUGAAAUUCGUAGAGAUCGGGAGGAAUACCAGUGGCGAAGGCGCCCAUCUGGACGGAUACUGACGCUGAAACGCGAAAGCGUGGGGAGCAAACAGG
rnacentral:rRNA from 1 species